UACGUAGGUGGCAAGCGUUGUCCGGAAUCAUUGGGCGUAAAGAGCAUGUAGGCGGGCUUUUAAGUCCGACGUGAAAAUGCGGGGCUUAACCCCGUAUUGCGUUGGAUACUGGGAGUCUUGAGUGCAGGAGAGGAAAGGGGAAUUCCCAGUGUAGCGGUGAAAUGCGUAGAUAUUGGGAGGAACACCAGUGGCGAAGGCGCCUUUCUGGACUGUGUCUGACGCUGAGAUGCGAAAGCCAGGGUAGCAAACGGG
rnacentral:rRNA from 1 species